UUUUGUGAGUGAUCUGAGUGAAAAAUUUGAAAAACAAUUUUUUGGAAUUUUUUAAAUUUUCGAAAAAUUUCAAAAUGCAUUAACAGGUGAAAAUUGAAAAUUUUAUGACCAAAUGCUGAUUUCGGAAAAAAGUGAUCUUUUUUUGGGAAAAAGUGAUUUUUUUUUUUCUUAUGUCCAAACGGGCUCUAGAUUUCGCAAUUAUUGUACAUAGAUUCAUAUCUCCGGGACUCCGACUGAAGUAUUGAACUAACAAGAGACCCUCCAAUAGCAACACAAAAAUCCACCUGAAAUGGCAAGGGAGUAUAUAACAGACUAAGAUCAGAUAUCUCUGAGAGGCAGGAAUUCCAAAAAUAAAAUAAAAAAAAAAUUUAAAAGGCAAAGUAAAACAUCAACCUUGGCAAUGAACACGUACUGAACUUCAAGAAAAUGUUUAGUUUCAAUCUCCUACUGUACCAGCAUCAAUGAAACGAUAUCGAAAUCCCAGUGCCUGCAUUUACUUCUCUACACACACGUGUUUACUUUCAAAAGUUUAAUCAAGAAAUCUUUUGGUAACAAAAAUUGAGGUUGCUUUGCCUGGAAGUAUGUGGUGAUCUCCAGCAUUUCUUCAAUUUGNNN
rnacentral:lncRNA from 1 species